rnacentral:rRNA from 1 species
GAUGAACGCUGGCGGCGUGCCUAAUACAUGCAAGUCGAGCGAACGGACGAGGAGCUUGCUUUUUUGACGUUAGCGGCGGACGGGUGAGUAACACGUGGAUAACCUACCUAUAAGACUGGGAUAACUUCGGGAAACCGGAGCUAAUACCGGAUAAUAUUUUGAACCGCAUGGUUCAAAAGUGAAAGACGGCCUUGCUGUCACUUAUAGAUGGAUCCGCGCUGCAUUAGCUAGUUGGUAAGGUAACGGCUUACCAAGGCAACGAUGCGUAGCCGACCUGAGAGGGUGAUCGGCCACACUGGAACUGAGACACGGUCCAGACUCCUACGGGAGGCAGCAGUAGGGAAUCUUCCGCAAUGGGCGAAAGCCUGACGGAGCAACGCCGCGUGAGUGAUGAAGGUCUUCGGAUCGUAAAACUCUGUUAUUAGGGAAGAACAGAUGUGUAAGUAACUGUGCACAUCUUGACGGUACCUAAUCAGAAAGCCACGGCUAACUACGUG